UGGUGAACCUUGAAGUGAUCUCAACCAUUUUCCUGGGAAGUCACCACCAAUGGAUUAGAUCAGAGGUCAAAAGAUUGAAACUGAAUUGAAGAUGGGCACCUGCUCCCAGCUGCUCCAGGCAGGGGCUGCUUGCACAGAAAGACAGUGGUCAGCUUUGGCACAGCCACCUCAGGUACUUAUCAGGAGGCCACCAGCUGCUUCAGGCCACAUCUUACCUCCUCACCAACCACAGAGGAAAGAGGCUGAAUGGCAGUAAUAGUUUUGAGAUGCUUCCUCACAUAUAUUUUCC
rnacentral:lncRNA from 1 species